AUGGACUGGACUUUGAGAGUCGUCUUGUUGGUUGCAGCAACUACAGGUGGCCAAUCUCAGAUCCAGCUGGUGCAAUCUGGAGCUGAACUCAAGAAGCCUGGGUCAUCAGUGAAGAUCUCCUGCAAGACUUCUGGAUACACCUUCACUAGCUACGAUAUGAAUUGGGUGCGUCAGAUCCCUGGACAUGGGCUUGAGUGGAUCGGGUAUAUUAAUCCAAGCAAUGGUAGAACAAACUACGCACAGAAGUUCAAGGGCAGAGUCACCAUCACCAGUGAAAAGUCCACAAGCACAGCUUACAUGGAUCUAAGCAGUCUGAGCUCUGAGGACACGGCCAUGUAUUACUGUGCAAGAGACACAAGAGGUUUUGAAUUCACAGUUAUGGUAGUAGGUGAAUCUGGAUGGGGAAAGUCAACGUUAAUCAACUCACCACUCCUUAUCGAUCUGUAUUCUCCGUAUAGUAUCCAGUUUCUACCCCUAGAAUAA